rnacentral:rRNA from 1 species
UACGGGGGGGGCAAGCGUUGUUCGGAAUUACUGGGCGUAAAGGGCGCGUAGGCGGCUCGCUAAGUCGGGUGUGAAAACUCUGGGCUCAACCCAGAGCCUGCAUUCGAAACUGACGGGCUAGAGUUCUGGAGGGGAAAGCGGAAUUCCUGGUGUAGCAGUGAAAUGCGUAGAUAUCUGGAGGAACACCGGUGGCGAAGGCGGCAUCCUGGACCGGCAUUGACGCUGAGGCGCGAAAGCCAGGGGAGCAAACGGG